rnacentral:rRNA from 1 species
CGGCGGGACGGGGUGGAGGUAACGCGUGGGUAACCGUGCCUCAUACAGGGGGAUAACAGUUGGAAACGGCUGCUAAUACCGCAUAAGCGCACAGUACCGCAUGGUACGGUGUGAAAAACUCCGGUGGUAUGAGAUGGACCCGCGUCUGAUUAGGUAGUUGGUGGGGUAACGGCCUACCAAGCCGACGAUCAGUAGCCGACCUGAGAGGGUGACCGGCCACAUUGGGACUGAGACACGGCCCAA